GUAGUCUCGCACAGAUGCAUAUCAAUAAGCGGAGGAAAAGAAACUAACAAGGAUUCCCCUAGUAACGGCGAGUGAAGCGGGAAGAGCUCAAAUUUGAAAUCUUAAAGGGUUUCCCUUUACGAAUUGUAGUUUAAAGAAGUGUUUUCUGUUGAGGUUUUGGUAAAAGUUCUUUGGAAUAGGACAUCAUAGAGGGUGAGAAUCCCGUAUUUGACCUUUACUUUCAACUUUGUGAUACACUUUCAAAGAGUCGGAUUGUUUGGGAAUGCAGUCCAAAAUGGGUGGUAAAUUUCAUCUAAAGCUAAAUAUUGGCGAGAGACCGAUAGCGAACAAGUACCGUGAGGGAAAGAUGAAAAGAACUUUGAAAAGAGAGUUAAACAGUACGUGAAAUUGUCAAAAGGGAAGCGUUUGACACCAGUGUUGUUUUUCUGAAAAUCAAUUAAAGAACUGUUUAUGCUAAGUUGUUUAGACUUUAUCAGCUAUCUGUUUAGUUUUGAGCUUUUCUUUAAUGCACUUUUCAGUUAACAAGUCAACAUCAAUUUCUUUUGCUGUAAAAAAGCUUGAGGAAGGUGGCUUGAGAUUCGUCUUAAGUGUUUAUAGCCUCUUGCCUAUGCAGUCGGAGAGAUUGAGGUCUGCAGCGUAGAUCCUUCGGGGCUAAAUGCAUUUGUGCUAAGUUAUAGCAUUUUAUAGACAACUUGUUGACUAUGAUUUGUCUUGUAGCUUACUCGCUUAUGUUAUUUUACCUACGCUUAGGAUGUUGAUCUGUAGUGCGUGCGC
rnacentral:rRNA from 1 species